GUUGAACAUAAACAUAAUAUAAAUAAAUAUAUUUUAUUUUAGCGGUAAUUUGAAAUACUAAUCAAUUGUUUUAUAUUACUUUUAUGUUCAG